CCUACGGGUGGCAGCAGUGAGGAAUAUUGGUCAAUGGACGCAAGUCUGAACCAGCCAUGCCGCGUGCAGGAAGACGGCUCUAUGAGUUGUAAACCGCUUUUGUACGAGGGUAAAUGCAGAUACGAGUAUCUGAAUGAAAAGAUCGUACGAACACGGAUCGACGAACUCCGUUCCAGCAGCCGCGGUAAUACGGCGGAGUCAAGCGUUAUCCGAAUUUAUUGGGUGUAAAGUGUGCGUAGGCGGUCGGAUAAGUUAGAGGUGAAAGCCCGAGGCUCAACUUCGGAAUUGCAUCUGAUACUGUUCGGCUAGAGAGUAGUUGCGGUAGGCGGAAUGUAUGGUGUAGCGGUGAAAUGCGUAGAGAUCAUACAGAACAC
rnacentral:rRNA from 1 species